AAUUAAAUAUCCUUAAGAAAUAUGUAGUGAGAUCGAUUCCUGCACCGGACUGGGUGUUGUGUUCUUGAGCAAGACACUUUAUUUCAUGUUGUUCCAGUUCACUCAGCUGUAGAAA